AAGCCUUGUUCCUAGGCACAACUCAGAAGAUUUCACACCUUGCAACUGUUGCUGAAGAUUGAAUUUCAUAGAUUUUACAUCUUGAAGCUUUGUCCCUGUGCAUAAUUCUGAAGAUUUUCUAUGUUGCAGAUGUGGCUCAGGAUUGAACACCAUAAAUUUUACACUUUGAAGGUCUGGCCAUGGAUUCAAUUUAUGAGAUUUCUCAUCUUGCUGCUGCUUUUCAGCAUUGAACUCAGAAGGUGCCACACUAUGAAUCUUUGAUUCCAAGGCCAACUUAGAGAGUUUUGCAACCUGCAAUUCUGGGUCAUGGUUGCCUUCUGUAGAGUUCACCGUCUGAAGCUUUAUCAACCCAGAUUUCAUAUCUUCCAACUUUGCCCCAGGAUUAUAUUCUACAGAUUUCACACCCUGAAGGUGUAUCCCUGGUGUCAACAUAGAUAAUUUUCUAUCUUGUAACUGUGAAGUUGAGCUUAACUCCAAAGAUGUCCUAUCCUGUACCUUUGUACCUACAGUCAAUUCAGAAGAUUUCACAUCUUGCAGCUGUGUUCCUGGGCAUGCCUCCAAGGGUUUCAC
rnacentral:lncRNA from 1 species